UGGAUGGCUAGAGUGCGACAGAGGGUGGUAGAAUUUCAGGUGUAGCGGUGAAAUGCGUAGAGAUCUGAAGGAAUACCAAUGGCGAAGGCAGCCACCUGGGUCGACACUGACGCUCAUGUACAAAGCGUGGGUAGCAACAGAUUAGAUACCCUGGUAGUCCACGCCGUAACGAUGUCUACUAGCAGUUUGAGCUUAAGCUCUGUCUUGCGCAGCUAACGCAUUAAGUAGACCGCCUGGGGAGUACGGCCGCAGGUUAAAACUCAAAUGAAUUGACGGGGCCCGCACAAGCGGUGGAGCAUGUGGUUUAUUCGAUGCAACGCGAAGAACCUUACCAUCUCUUGACAUCCAGAGAAUUUAGCAGAGACGCUUUAGUGCCUUCGGGAACUCUGAGACAGGUGCUGCAUGGCUGUCGUCAGCUCGUGUUGUGAAAUGUUGGGUUAGUCCCGCAACGAGCGCAACCCUUAUCCUUUGCCAGCACGUAAUGGUGGGAACUCUAAGGAGACUGCCGGUGACAAACCGGAGGAAGUGUGGGCGACGUCCAAGUCAUCAUGGCCCUUACGAGAUGGGCUACACACGUGCUACAAUGGCAAGUACAAAGGUUGCAAACUCGCGAGAGUAAGCGGAUCCAUAAAGCUUGUCGUAGUCCGGAUUGGAGUCUGCAACUCGACUCCAUGAAGUCGGAAUCGCUAGUAAUCGUGGAUCAGAAUGCCACGGUGAAUACGUUCCCGGCCUUGUACACACCGCCCGUCACACCAUGGGAGUGGGCUGCAAAAGAAGUGGAUAGCUUAACCUUCGGAGGGCGUUCACCACUUUGUGGUUCAUGACUGGGGUGAAGUCGUAACAAGGUAGCCGUAGGGGAACCGCGGCUGGAUCACCUCCUUAUAUACGAAG
rnacentral:rRNA from 1 species